GGAUCAGUGGCGAACGGGUGAGUAACACGUGAGCAACCUGCCCUGAACUCUGGGAUAAGCGCUGGAAACGGCGUCUAAUACUGGAUAUGAGCUGCGGAGGCAUCUUCGUGGUUGGAAAGAUUUUUCGGUUUGGGAUGGGCUCGCGGCCUAUCAGCUUNUUGGUGAGGUAAUGGCUCACCAAGGCGUCGACGGGUAGCCGGCCUGAGAGGGUGACCGNCCACACUGGGACUGAGACACGGCCCAGACUNCUACGGGAGGCAGCAGUGGGGAAUAUUGCACAAUGGGCGGAAGCCUGNAUGCAGCAACGCCGCGUGAGGGAUGACGGCCUUCGGGUUGUAAACCUCUUUUAGCAGGGAAGAAGCGAAAGUGACGGUACCUGCAGAAAAAGCGCCGGCUAACUACGUGCCAGCAGCCGCGGUAAUACGUAGGGCGCAAGCGUUAUCCGGAAUUAUUGGGCGUAAAGAGCUCGUAGGCGGUUUGUCGCGUCUGCUGUGAAAACCCGAGGCUCAACCUCGAGCCUGCAGUGGGUACGGGCAGACUAGAGUGCGGUAGGGGAGAUUGGAAUUCCUGGUGUAGCGGUGGAAUGCGCAGAUAUCAGGAGGAACACCGAUGGCGAAGGCAGAUCUCUGGGCCGUAACUGACGCUGAGGAGCGAAAGGGUGGGGAGCAAACAGGCUUAGAUACCCUGGUAGUCCACCCCGUAAACGUUGGGAACUAGUUGUGGGGUCCAUUCCACGGAUUCCGUGACGCAGCUAACGCAUUAAGUUCCCCGCCUGGGGAGUACGGCCGCAAGGCUAAAACUCAAAGGAAUUGACGGGGACCCGCACAAGCGGCGGAGCAUGCGGAUUAAUUCGAUGCAACGCGAAGAACCUUACCAAGGCUUGACAUACACGAGAACGCUGCAGAAAUGUAGAACUCUUUGGACACUCGUGAACAGGUGGUGCAUGGUUGUCGUCAGCUCGUGUCGUGAGAUGUUGGGUUAAGUCCCGCAACGAGCGCAACCCUCGUUCUAUGUUGCCAGCACGUAAUGGUGGGAACUCAUGGGAUACUGCCGGGGUCAACUCGGAGGAAGGUGGGGAUGACGUCAAAUCAUCAUGCCCCUUAUGUCUUGGGCUUCACGCAUGCUACAAUGGCCGGUACAAAGGGCUGCAAUACCGCGAGGUGGAGCGAAUCCCAAAAAGCCGGUCCCAGUUCGGAUUGAGGUCUGCAACUCGACCUCAUGAAGUCGGAGUCGCUAGUAAUCGCAGAUCAGCAACGCUGCGGUGAAUACGUUCCCGGGUCUUGUACACACCGCCCGUCAAGUCAUGAAAGUCGGUAACACCUGAAGCCGGUGGCCCAACCCUUGUGGAGGGAGCCGUCGAAGGUGGGAUCGGUAAUUAGGACUAAGUCGUAACA
rnacentral:rRNA from 1 species